rnacentral:lncRNA from 1 species
GGGUUUAUCAGAUUCGGUAGAAUCUACAAAUAUGAAAUUCAAUAUUUGAAUGAAGUUAAUACAAUUUCUUCUGCUCCUGUAUUUGGGCCUUUUGCCAACCAAAAUCAGUCAUCUUUUCAGCUUCCAAUGGCGGCGUUCACACCGGACGGUCGAAAAUCAAACGGGGAGGAAAUUAAGGCUUUAGAAAAGAGGGAUUGUUGCAGGCUCCUGAUUCGAGACCGGAGACGCUCCGCCACUCUACCAGAUUCAUGAUUCGACAAGAUCUGCAGAUAGAUUUUCCGCCGGAGAUGAAGAGAGGGCGAAGCGAAGCGUCAGAAAAAUGAAUUCUCUCGAAAUUUGGGGCUAACCGGAGGCCGACGCCGCCGCAUGCAACCGCGACAAACCUUGCACCAGUCUCUUCGUCCGCCGCCACGAGCGCUUUCCCAUGGUCCUCUUCUACGAUUCAGCCGUGAAGUCGUGCGAAAUUGUGAGAGUAGAUAGAGAUUGAAGCAACAAAUGGGGGUGAAUGAGGCGUGUAAUUCGGAAGGACGAAAAUUUGGGGAAUGUAAAAUUCCCAUUUACCCCUCUUUCGUUGUAAAUCAGCGGGUCAACCAUUUUCAACGCGUUUUUGUAUUUUUUUUUAUUAUUCGAGUUUUUUUUUCAUCCGUUGGAUUGUGUUGAUCCAACGCUUAGAGAUUAUUCUCUAUUCUCUAUUAGAGUAGUAUUCUCCAUGGAUCUCACCCCUAUAUA